rnacentral:misc_RNA from 1 species
GAUGAAGAACGCAGCGAAAUGCGAUAAGUAAUGCGAAUUGCAGAAUUUCCGUGAGUCAUCGAAUCUUUGAACGCACAUUGCGCCCAUUGGUAUUCCGAUGGGCAUGCCUGUUCGAGCGUCAUUUCACCACUCAAGCCUGGCUUGGUGUUGGGCGACGUCCCCUUUGGGGACGCGCCUCGAAACGCUCGGCGGCGUGGCACCGGCUUUAAGCGUAGCAGAAUCUUUCGCUUUGGAAGUCGGGGCCCCGUCUGCCGGAAGACCUACUCGCAAGGUUGACCUCGGAUCAGGCAGGGAUACCCGCUGAACUUAAGCAUAUCAAUAAGCGGAGGA